rnacentral:lncRNA from 1 species
UGGACCCUGAGCGAGCACAGUGAGGGCAGAGCCUGUACCAGAACCUGGGCCCCUUCAUCCUUGUCCAUUGCUCUUUCUACUCCAGCAGCGAAUUUGCUGACCCAAAUUAGACCUGCAGAAUAUUUAUCCUUCUGGGUUGCUGAGGUGCCCAGCUGUGGGAGCAGACCCAGAGAAGAGGUGCGGCUAAGGAAGUGAAGUGAGUGGCCUCUUCUGCACAGCCCUGGGCUUAGCUGUGACUGUGUGAUAGGAAUUCAGGUGGAAGCAUCACACUUUUGCCCCAUUCAUCCCCGCUUCUAAGCCUGUGCUGCAGGAAUUUGUGUGAGGUGAAAGAAAUGGAUGCUCCCUCCUGUAAACAGCCUUUGCCUUAGAUCUGGGGAAGGAUGGACAUUCCUGGCAACCCUCCUGGGGAAUCAGCUAGAGGCUGCGUGGAUGCAGACUUGACUUCAGGUACACUUCUUUAUUGGUUAACCUACCUUCCUUCUGGGAGGAAGGAACACUUUUGCAAUGUCCCCAGAGGGACAUUUGCCACCUGGAAUCCAACCGAAUGGAGUCUGCCAGGAGCUUGUGCAGCAUCUGCAAUGCCAGUUCCAGUUUACAGAGGACUCAGGCUGGCAGUGAGGACUCAGCUGAGAUCAUCAAACCUUUGGAACUGGCUUGAGCUCAAAAUGCUAGGUGCCCUGAGCCAAGAAGCAACAGAACUCACUUGUGGCUCCCUUGUCCUGAAGCCACAGGGCCACAUGCUGAAGGCCUGCCCCUGCAGCUCUCUCCAACCUCAUCAGACCAGCAAAACCACCUUGUUCCUAAGU